rnacentral:rRNA from 1 species
CUACGGGGCGCUGCAGGCGCGAAACCUCCGCAAUGUGAGAAAUCGCGACGGGGGGAUCCCAAGUGCCAUUCUUAACGGGAUGGCUUUUCAUUAGUGUAAAGAGCUUUUGGAAUAAGGGCUGGGCAAGACCGGUGCCAGCCGCCGCGGUAACACCGGCAGCUCUAGUGGUAGCAGUUUUUAUUGGGCCUAAAGCGUCCGUAGCCGGUUUAAUAAGUCUCUGGUGAAAUCCUGCAGCUUAACUGUGGGAAUUGCUGGAGAUACUAUUAGACUUGAGAUCGGGAGAGGUUAGAGGUACUCCCAGGGUAGAGGUGAAAUUCUGUAAUCCUGGGAGGACCGCCUGUUGCGAAGGCGUCUGACUGGAACGAUUCUGACGGUGAGGGACGAAAGCUAGGGGCGCGAACCGGAUUAGAUACCCGGGUAGUC